rnacentral:rRNA from 1 species
UACGAAGGGGGCUAGCGUUGCUCGGAAUCACUGGGCGUAAAGCGCACGUAGGCGGAUCGUUAAGUCAGGGGUGAAAUCCUGGAGCUCAACUCCAGAACUGCCUCCGAUACUGAGAGUCUUCGAGUCCGGGAGAGGUGAGUGGAACUGCGAGUGUAGAGGUGAAAUUCGUAGAUAUUCGCAAGAACACCAGUGGCGAAGGCGGCUCACUGGCCCGGUACUGACGCUGAGGUGCGAAAGCGUGGGGAGCAAACAGG